rnacentral:rRNA from 1 species
GAUGAACGCUGGCGGCGUGCCUAAUACAUGCAAGUAGAACGCUGAAGGAGGAGCUUGCUCUUCUGGAUGAGUUGCGAACGGGUGAGUAACGCGUAGGUAACCUGCCUGGUAGCGGGGGAUAACUAUUGGAAACGAUAGCUAAUACCGCAUGACAACAGUUAUUGCAUGAUAACUGUUUAAAAGGGGCAACUGCUCCACUACCAGAUGGACCUGCGUUGUAUUAGCUAGUUGGUGAGGUAACGGCUCACCAAGGCGACGAUACAUAGCCGACCUGAGAGGGUGAUCGGCCACACUGGGACUGAGACACGGCCCAGACUCCUACGGGAGGCAGCAGUAGGGAAUCUUCGGCAAUGGACGGAAGUCUGACCGAGCAACGCCGCGUGAGUGAAGAAGGUUUUCGGAUCGUAAAGCUCUGUUGUAAGAGAAGAACGAGUGUGAGAGUGGAAAGUUCACGCUGUGACGGUAUCUUACCAGAAAGGGACGGCUAACUACGUG